UACAGAGGGGGCAAGCGUUGUUCGGAAUUACUGGGCGUAAAGGGCGUGUAGGCGGCUUCGUGUGUCCCAUGUGAAAGCCCUCGGCUCAACCGGGGAACUGCAUGGGAAACUGCGGAGCUUGAGUCCGGGAGAGGUGAGUGGAAUUCCCAGUGUAGCGGUGAAAUGCGUAGAUAUUGGGAGGAACACCGGUGGCGAAGGCGGCUCACUGGACCGGUACUGACGCUGAGACGCGAAAGCCAGGGGAGCAAACGGG
rnacentral:rRNA from 1 species